GAUUUCUGGCGAACCGUUGCGGCCCGUGGUCGUUGGCCGGACGUACGUGAUCUGGAUCGAUUACUUUGAAAAAAUUAGAGUGUUUAAAGCAGGCUUAUGCUGUGAAUACAUUAGCAUGGAAUAAUAAUUUAGGACUUCGGUUCUAUUUUGUUGGUUUCUAGGACUGAAGUAAUGAUUGAUAGGGACAGUUGGGGGUGCUAGUAUUCCGCGGCCAGAGGUGAAAUUCUUGGAUUCGCGGAAGACUAACUACUGCGAAAGCAUU
rnacentral:rRNA from 1 species